GCUCGGGCGGGUAGGACUUGGUCUGGCCCAGCGGCGUCCCGAGUCUGCCCCCCACGCCUUUAUAAAGUUGGGGAACUCAGGAGAACCUUCAGGAUAAGUGUUGGGACAACUCCCGCUAGUUGUUGUGUACAUGUGCGCAGUGAGCGGGCCGAGCCGAGAGGAAGCGAGAGCGCCCGAGUUUGCAAAGAGCUGCUUUGUGUUUGGUAUUUUGAGAAAAUGGCCGAAUGCCUAUUUCAGUUAGGAAUGCCGCCGCCGAGGCAGGCGCUGGUGGCAGGGCACGUAGGAAUUCGUGCGGCACGUUGGGCUUUCGGGCCGUGCUGGGAUGGUCUUCCCUACAAACGUUGAAAUUCCUUCAGGGAUGAAUACAGUUAUGGCCACCCAGGUAAUGGGCCAGUCUUCUGGAGGAGGGGGGCUAUUCACCAGUGGUGGCAACAUUGGCAUGGCCUUGCCUAACGACAUGUAUGACUUGCAUGACCUCUCCAAAGCUGAACUGGCUGCGCCUCAGCUUAUCAUGUUGGCAAAUGUGGCCUUAACUGGAGAAGUAAAUGGCAGCUGCUGUGAUUACCUGGUGGGUGAAGAGAGACAGAUGGCAGAAUUGAUGCCUGUGGGGGAUAACAACUUUUCAGAUAGUGAUGGAGAAGGACUGGAUGAGUCUCCUGAAAUAAAAGGUGAACCCAGUGGACUAGAAAACAUGGAACUGGAAAGUUUGGAGCUCAGUGUGGUAGAACCACAGCCUGUGUUCGAAGUAUCAGCUGCCCCAGAAACUUAUGACUCAAAUAAAGACCUUCCUCUGGAAACACCUGGAACAGAGGACAAAUGUAAGAACUUGAAGACCAAACCCUUUCGCUGUAAGCCAUGCCAGUAUGAAGCAGAAUCUGAAGAACAGUUUGUACAUCAUAUCAGAGUUCAUAGUGCCAAGAAAUUUUUCGUGGAAGAAAGUGCAGAGAAGCAAGCAAAAGCCAGGGAAUCUGGCUCUUCUACUGUGGAGGAGGGAGAUUUCUCCAAGGGCCCCAUUCGCUGUGACCGAUGUGGCUACAAUACCAAUCGUUAUGAUCACUAUACUGCUCACCUGAAGCACCACACCAGAGCUGGGGAUAAUGAGCGAGUCUACAAGUGCAUCAUUUGCACGUACACAACAGUAAGCGAAUAUCACUGGAGGAAACACUUGAGAAACCAUUUUCCAAGGAAAGUAUACACAUGUGGGAAAUGCAACUAUUUUUCAGACAGAAAAAACAAUUAUGUUCAACAUGUUCGAACUCAUACAGGAGAACGCCCAUAUAAGUGUGAGCUUUGUCCUUACUCAAGUUCUCAGAAGACUCAUCUAACUAGACAUAUGCGUACUCAUUCAGGUGAGAAGCCAUUUAAAUGUGAUCAGUGCAGUUAUGUGGCCUCUAAUCAACAUGAAGUUACCCGCCAUGCAAGACAGGUUCACAAUGGGCCUAAACCUCUUACUUGCCCACACUGUGACUACAAAACAGCAGACAGAAGUAACUUCAAAAAACAUGUAGAGUUACAUGUUAAUCCACGGCAGUUCAAUUGCCCUGUAUGUGACUAUGCGGCUUCUAAGAAGUGUAAUCUGCAGUAUCAUUUCAAAUCUAAGCAUCCUACUUGUCCUAAUAAAACAAUGGAUGUCUCAAAAGUGAAACUAAAGAAAACCAAAAAGAGAGAGGCUGACUUGCCUGAUAACAAUAUGACCAAUGAAAAAACAGAAGCAGAACAGACAAAAAUAAAGGGGGAUGUGGCUGGAAAGAAAAAUGAGAGGGCUGUGAAAGUGGAGAAAAAAGACAAUGUUUCAAAAGAGAAAAAGCCUUGCAGUAAUGCCUCAAUCCAGAUUACUACCAGAACUCGCAAAUCUGCAGUGGAAACUAAAGAAAUGGAUAUGCAGACAGGGAAUAAUUCAGAAAAAACUUGUAAAACCAAGAAAAGCAAAAGGAAGGUGGAAGCUGAAGUCCAUUCCUUACAAGAUCCUAUUACUGAUGAGGGACCUGUGACAAAAAAGAAAAAGAAGGCAGAAAGCAAAUCCAGAAAUAAUCAAGAAGUGCCAAAGGCUGAUGGCAAACUUGAGAAUAAAAAGCAAAAUACAUGCCUGAAAAAAACUGCAAAGAAGAAAACUCUGAAAAAUAAAUUAAGUAAAAAAAGCAGCAAGCCUGUUCAGAAGGAGACUGCUCAGAGGGGUACUCAGGUAGAGCCUCUGCAGAUGGAACCUGCUCAGACUGAGCCACCUUCUCCUAUAGAGUCUGCCCAGCCGGGGCCUCCCCAGCCAGAGUCUCCCCACAUGGAGCCGCCGUCUCCCAUGGGGCCUGCUCAGCUAGAGGUUGUUCAGAAGGGGCCUGUUGAAAUGGAGGCUCCCCUUCACAAGGAACCGAUUCCCAAAAAGUCUCCUCAAAAAGAUAAUAAAAAGGAAAAGGCCAACAUGCUGAGUGAAAUGGUACGGAAGGAGCAAGUCCUUAUUGAAGUUGGCUUAGUGCCUGUUAAGGAUAGCCAGCCUCUGAAAGAAAAUGCUGAUGCACUGGAUCUCUCACCACCAUCACCACUGCUGCCAAAGGAAAACCUAAAAGAAGAGGAGACAAAAGACCAAAAAUUACUCAGCGAAGGCAAAGGAAAUAAAGAAACUCCUCUUCAAAAAGUAGAAGCAGAAGAGGCAGAUAAGAGUCCAGCAGGACUUGCUGCUGUUAUCAAGGAAUCUGCCAGUAUUUCAUCCUCGGAACAAAACCUGAAUAUGCCAGAGGGUGGAACUUUAGAUGGCAGAUGGCAGGCUGACACUGUGCUUUCUGAAAUGGAAAUGGACACUGAUGAGAAUAAAACAGAGAAUCUCCCUGGCAGAAACUCAGCAGUUGAAGAACUAAUUUCACCACUGCUUCCUCUACCAACAGAAAAACAUGAAGUAGUGUCCAAAACUGCUGUGGCAUCACCUCCUGUCACCACGGCAAUAAAUAAGUCUCAGGAAAUGGAUGAAGAUGAAGGCAUCCACAGUCACGAUGGAAGUGAUCUAAGUGACAACAUGUCAGAGGGUAGUGAUGAUUCUGGAUUGAAUGGGGCUCGGCCAGUUCCACAAGAAGCUAGUAGAAGAAACGCUAAGGAAGCCUUGGCAGUCAAAGUGGCUGAUGGAGAUUUCGUUUGUAUCUUCUGUGAUCGUUCUUUUAGAAAGGAAAAAGAUUAUAGCAAACACCUUAAUCGCCAUUUGGUUAAUGUAUACUUCCUUGAAAAAGCAGCUAAAGGACAGGAGUAAUUAAGCUUUGGACAAGGCUUCAGUUCUUAGUUUGUAAGAUCUAUUACACUUUAUAUUCAUUUAUAGUAGUAGACAACCUUUUACUUUUAAAAUUGCUUUAAUUAGUGUCCACUGUUGAUUUUUAAGUGACACUUUUCCCUAGGACUAUAUACCUGUUGAUGGAUAGAUUUGAGCAAAUCCAAGGAAGUUAGUGUACUAAACCAGCAGAUACCUAAAUCUGUUAGCUUAUGCAUUUAACUGAAAUGAGAAGGCCUAGGUGGUAUAUGAAAAUCUGUUGCUUUGUCUAUAACUUGUCGGUUUCUCCCCCAUGUCUGUCUGCCUGUUUCACUUCAGUUUAUUUGUAGUUUCUUGUUUAGCUCUAUAAAAAUUGGCUUACUUAAAUAGCAAAUUACUUGAAGAAUUUGCCUGCUUUAUAUAAAGUUAGCACUUUAAAAUUUUUUAGAUAAAAGAGACGUUUAAAUUGAGAAGUUCCCCAACAAUGGACAUUGUAUCAGUCCAGGUAUUUACUUUCUAAGUUUUGAUCAAUAUUUCUUAUUUGUGUAUGUUAAUCGUCAUAAAAACAAUGAUUUUGGUGUGUUUUUUUAUUUUGGUGCUUUAAUGGCUUAAGAUGUUGCACAUUUUUUUUUAACCUAUGCAGUUAAAUUUUUCUAGAAAUAGCAUUUGUGUUGAGCAGUAACACUUUAUACGUGUAUAUAUAUAUGUGUAUAUAUAUAUAUAUAUAUAUAUAUAUGCAUGUUUAUUUUGUCCUCUUUGGAGGGAUGCUUUUAGUCUUGUUUGCAAAGGGCAGUUUUCUUUUUUCCUUUGCUGCAAUUGUCUUUUGCAGAAUAUUAGUGUGAGCAAAUUUGUGAGCAAAUGAAGCAUGCAGGUUCAAUCUAUUGAUUUUGAUUUUCACAUUUCUAUGCCAGAAUCUGUAUUUCAUAUAAGUUAUUUAUUUUAAAUGGAUGUAGUGAAUUCACAGCGCUCAUUUUGAAUUUCGCAAUAAACCACUAGGCUCUAUAUUGAGUGGAUUUUUAUCUCAAAUACCAACCAUAAGUAAAUUUUGGCGUUUUAGUACAGCUACUUCCUAAAUGUACACUGUUAAGUCAGAUUUUUUAGGAAAACCAUUUUUUCAUAGGUGGUUGGUGUUCAUGUGGCUAUUCAGCUGAAUAAAGAACUAUAAGUGAUAACUUGGAAACUGCAAAUCUGGAAUUAGGAGGCAUAAUCACUCCUUUAAGUUACACAGAUUAUCAGUUGUGAGGUUCCAAAGCCAUAGCAUUACACAGAAAAUCUAGCAUGAGAGAGGAUGAGUACAGGUAGACCAGCUACUCCUUCCUGUGAAUACAAUAGAAAAGGCUAGUUAGACUUCUGUACAGUCCAGAUUUUUAAAAUCACAUUUUCUCAGGUAUCUCCACAAACUAGUGGGUGUCCUGGCUGUCCUGUGACAGCCUCUUUCUACAGGUGAGGCCUCAAAUGAAUUACAGCUAUCCUCAUGUUCCUGGGGGGCACUUCAUAUGAAAAAGUGUGUGUACUCCCAGACUUUUUCGUAGGUUCUUUGGCUAAUUUGCCAAGGAAUAUAAAAAAAUCCGACAUAGGAUUUUUCUUGCUGAUAGCAGUUACUCAUUGCAGUAAAAUAAACUAUGAUCCCAAUAGGGAAUCUUAAACAAUUCUGUUCCUUCCAUGUUCUAUUCUAAAAUAACCACUUUAUACUUCAUUUAUUUUCUUUUAUCUGGUGAUCUCUUUGAGGCAGGGUUCAAGAGUUUGGCAGUGCAACAUGAAAGGUUAGAAAACAGCGUUGAUGAAGUGUGGGUGGAGAACUUAUUAAAAAUCUGAGAAUGAAGUUUGAGUUAAAAGACAUUUGAACUUGGAAUUGACUGGGAGGCCAAAGAUUUAAAGAAGAUGAUUCUCUCCAGACAUGAGGAAGCUGCUUCUUUGGAGCUUUUUUCUUUUUUAAAUUGAGGUGUACUUCACAACAGGCUACAUUUUUUUGAUAAUGCUUUUAUAACUGACCAGAUAUUUUGCUCUAGUCUUCUAAAAGGGCCAUUUUAUAUUUUAGAAUCACUUCUAAAGUCAUGUGGUCUUUAACUUUAGGGACUAUUUUGCAUAUGAGUGUUAAUUCAAUUUUAAACCCAAGUAGACCUCAUUUGCAUGUCACCCCAUGAAUGCUGACAAUGGAAGAAACACCUUGCCUGUAGUAGAACAUCAGUUCUGGACUGAGAAGCUGGGGAAGAAACUUAAUUUUCUUUUUUGCAUAAAUCAGGAAAACAGCUGGUAUGCAGUUCCCUUGUUGACCUCAGCAGAUGAAGUGAGCUGAUGGUGUUAAUUCAGAUUAAGAAACUUUCUGAAUUUUACCUUAUGUAGAUUUUGUUAUCUACAUGCAAUGUUAACUAAAUCGGGUAGCUUUUACAGUUUCACAUUUUGUGUACAUAGGCUUUCUCCACCCUUUUUCAACAUCCAUUAGUUACUGAACUCUGUAAACUGUCAUUGAAACAUUAAAACAAUGUUUUGUUGCACCAAUUUUAUAAACUUUUACAGUGCAAUACGUGUUAUUUUUCAGAGACAAACCAAAGGUUAAUUUCUCAAGGUUCUUGCUGCCAGCUUAAGCAGCAUUUUAUGGAGGAUCUUUUAUAUAUACAUUUGUAAUAAAUGAAAAAUAAACCAGAUUGCAAUUUUUUUUUUUUAACCACGUACUGAGUUUUUGGUCCAAAUUGUAUAGGAUAAGUUAAAGUUAAAUUGCAUUCUAUUAACCAAUAUGAGUGUAUUUCUGUAAGCAUAGUUACAUUGAAAUAAAGUUU